rnacentral:rRNA from 1 species
GACGAACGCUGGCGGCGUGCUUAACACAUGCAAGUCGAACGGAAAGGCCCUGCUUUUGUGGGGUUCUCGAGUGGCGAACGGGUGUGUAACACGUGAGUAACCUGCCCUUGACUUUGGGAUAACUUCAGGAAACUGUGGCUAAUACCGGAUAGGAGCUCCUGCUGCAUGGUGUGGGUUGGAAAGUUUCGGCGGUUGGGGAUGGACUCGCGGCUUAUCAGCUUGUUGGUGGGGUAGUGGCUUACCAAGGCUUCGACGGGUAGCCGGCCUGAGAGGGUGACCGGCCACAUGGGGACUACGAUACGGCCCAGACUCCUACGGGAGGCAGCGGGCGGGAAUAUUGCACAAUGGGCGGACGUCUGAUGCAGAAACGCCGCGUGCGGGAUGACGGCCUUCGGGGUGUAAACCGCUGUCGCCUGUGACGAAGCGUGAGUGACGGUAAUGGGUAAAGAAGCACCGGCUAACUACGUG